GACGAACGCUGGCGGCGUGCCUAAUACAUGCAAGUCGAACGCAGUGGGGACGGGUGAGUAACACGUGGGUAACCUCCCAUCAGACGGGAUAACACUUGGAAACAGGUGCUAAACCGAUAUUGGUGUAUGUACCCGCGGGGCAUUAGCUAGGUGGUGGGGUAACGGCUCACCAAGGCCACGAUGCAUAGCCGGACUGAGAGGGUGAUCUGCCACACUGGGACUGAGACACGGCCCAGACUCCUACGGGAGGCAGCAGUGGGGAAUCUUGGGCAAUGGACGAAAGUCUGAUCGAGCAAUGCCGCGUGAGUGAAGAAGGUUUCCGGAUCGUAAAACACUGUUGUCAGAGAAGCGUUAUCUAACCAGAAAGCACCGGCUAACUACGUGCCAGCAGCCGCGGUAAUUC
rnacentral:rRNA from 1 species